rnacentral:rRNA from 1 species
UACGAAGGGGGCUAGCGUUGCUCGGAAUCACUGGGCGUAAAGGGUGCGUAGGCGGGUCUUUUAAGUCAGGGGUGAAAUCCUGGAGCUCAACUCCAGAACUGCCUUUGAUACUGAAGAUCUUGAGUCCGGGAGAGGUGAGUGGAACUGCGAGUGUAGAGGUGAAAUUCGUAGAUAUUCGCAAGAACACCAGUGGCGAAGGCGGCUCACUGGCCCGGUACUGACGCUGAGGCACGAAAGCGUGGGGAGCGAACAGG